AUCAGCCAAAGUGCGGCCGUCCUCCAAUUGCUUCCCUGCGAAGAUCAACCUCUGCUGGUCCGGAGGAAUCCCCUCCUUGUCCUGAAUCUUCGUCUUCACGUUAUCAAUCGUGUCAGAGCUCUCCACCUCCAGGGUGAUGGUCUUCCCUGUCAACGUCUUCACAAAAAUUUGCAUGCCUCCCCUCAACCUAAGAACCAAGUGCAAGGUCGACUCCUUCUGGAUGUUGUAAUCAGCCAAAGUGCGGCCGUCCUCCAAUUGCUUCCCUGCGAAGAUCAACCUCUGCUGGUCCGGAGGAAUCCCCUCCUUGUCCUGAAUCUUCGUCUUCACGUUAUCAAUC
rnacentral:lncRNA from 1 species